UACAGAGGUCCCAAGCGUUGUUCGGAUUCACUGGGCGUAAAGGGUGCGUAGGUGGUGAGGUAAGUUUGAUGUGAAAUCUCCGGGCUUAACCCGGAAAUGGCAUUGAAUACUAUCUUGCUAGAGGAGUGGAGGGGGGACUGGAAUACUUGGUGUAGCAGUGGAAUGCGCAGAUAUCAGGAGGAACACCGGUGGCGAAGGCGGGUCUCUGGGCAGUAACUGACGCUGAGGAGCGAAAGCGUGGGGAGCGAACAGG
rnacentral:rRNA from 1 species